GGUAGGAAGGCCUUGAUGCUUGAGACAAAACCACAUUUUGUCGGAUGGAUAAUUCUACCGGAAGGCAAGCUGCCGUAGGUCAUCUUGAUUUCAGACGGGUCUGAUGAAUACGAGGGAAAUAAUUUACAGCACGAAGCUACGAAAAGAAUUUCUGUAUUUUCGAUCCAUCCCGGAUUCCUUAGAGCUGCUCCAAAGCCUGAAUAGAUCCAGAACUGGCUGUUGGCCUUCGUUUUAUGCUGCUCAGGAUGAUACCAGUGGAAGUAAUCGAACAGAUCGUGAAAACAGUUCCGAUUUCCUGGUGGAGAAGGAACUCUCCCAAAAUAAUCUUGUCCGAUUCGCUAGAGAUUUCGGAGUAGCAGCACAAAUAUCCUUCCGUCUGACUUUGUAACCCGAUCGAUUGCUUCAAUGGCAAUUAUUGUAUGUAUUAUUUCUUUUUAGAUUAAUAAAAAUACGUAAAGCUUCUGCUUCCCAA